UGCUGGUGUAGCUCAAUCUGGUAGAGCAUCCGACUUGUAAUCGGACGGUUGAGGGUUCAAUUCCUUUCGCCAGCAA
rnacentral:tRNA from 1 species